UGCCCGUACUUACACGGCUCCAUUGCCGAAC
rnacentral:sRNA from 1 species